CAGAAGUUGGCGUACAGGUAAGUCCACUUUUCUUUUUUUCCCCCCCACCCCGACUGUUUUUUUUUUUUAGUUCCUCCUCCUGUCACUCGCGCACCGCCACCCUCCGGUGUCUCUUCCCCGCAGGCGAGCGAAGGGAAGGUGAGGUCGUCGCUGAUUGGCUGCCCGCGGCCAGGAGAGCCGACUGCUGAUUGGCUCAAAGUGCGGGACAAGCAGUUAAAGGACACGCCUCCUCCUUCGCCGCGAAUCUCGAUUUUUGGGUAUUUAUACAUUUCUUUCAUGACAUUUUUUAAUGAUUUUGGCGGGUAUUUUAUCUAACAAAAUUAAAUAUGAGUUAAGAAGAAAUCUGAUUUACAAAAAGUUGUGUAAUUAUCAAUAAAUGAACUGUACAUUUUUUUAAAAUAGAAUGCAUUAUACUAUUACAGUAAACAAUUGCCCAUAAAAUGCAAAAAUAUUACUGUAGGACACCAUUUUGUAUGUUUUAUUUUCACAAAUCCAAUAAUAUAAAAAGUCUACACAUAUUUGUAAGACAUGGAGAGAGAGAGAGAACAUUAUAAAACAUUUCAAAAAGCAUGAAUGACAGCCACAACCUGGAAAAAUGUAAUAUAUUUGACAGGGAACUUAAACAUGAAGCGAGCAAAUGUUAUUGCGCAAGUGUGCACACCCACCGAGAACUGGUGAUGUCAUUGUGUUCAGAAUGACCCAAUUAAAUUCCAACAUAUGUACUUAGUGUUGCAUGUUUACAGUUACUUAGUGACAGUUGCUGACUUACUUACAGUUCAGAAUGAACCAAUUUGGUGCAAAGUCAUGUGAAGUGGGAGUCGGCACACACCUUCCACCAUUUAAACUGCCACAGAUGAACCCCCAAAGAAGGUCAACUUUAUCUUCAUCAUUAUCAUUUUACAUCCUCUCUCUAAAAACUUGCAUUGUUUUUUUUCACUCCAGGGGAUUGUGGAGAGUACGGGUUAUAGGUCACACUGAUGGCGGGGAAAAUUUUCAGGUGAUUUGUCUUGGUCUCGUUUCUAUACAACAAAAGCAUUGCAUUUCAAUUGCUGUGGAGUCUUUUUAUAUCCGCUGCCGUUGGUUAAUUGGCUGCAAAUAACUUCAUUAGGAAGAAUACAAUUAGCUUACAAACAAGUAUCUGUUUGAAAACUCAAAUGUGGGCCUCGGGGCACAAAAGCUUGCCCACCACUACAGAGUAAAGAGGAAAUAAAGGCAGCGGUGCUGGUGAUGGGGGGCGGGGGCUGUCAUUAGUUGACACAAUGCCAUUGUCCCUUUAAUGAAGCCAUUGUAUGAGCACAUCACAGUGUUUGGGAUCAGCCAGGCCGACAGCAAACAAUGCAGGUGCAUGUUUGUCUCCUACACUCACCACCUCAAUGCUAAUUCAGUCCUGUUUAUUUAGCUUCAAAGUUCACGUCGGAGGCAUGCACCGCGACCACUACAUCAUAAGUAACAACAGGAAAAAAAUGUGUCCACUUUUUUUUUUGGACUGUCAUUUGUUGUUGUUAUUUUAGCAAAACGGUUUGGAUGCUUGCAAGCUGUUGACAGGAUAAAUAGACAGGCACAUUUGCUUGUGAAAGCCUCCGGGUGAUCGUGUAUGGAAACUUUUUUUUUUUUUUUUAAGGAAAGGUUUCAGCUUCAGUUUAACGGCCAGUGGUGUCAUCCCCUUGUGUGCGUGUAUGAGACACAGCCAUGUUCUUCUCGUCUCAUUUGUUUCCCAGAGCAGCUGGGGCCUUUUCGGCGCGCUCUGUGUUGUGUGUGCUAGAUAAAUACAGGUGGAGUCCUUUUUCUUCCCAGCAGCACACAAACACAACAUGGGGAGCGGGAGGCAGAGUUGAAGGUGUUCACAAUAAAUGCAAUAGUAAACCAGUGGCAGGCAAACUUUACAGAGCUCAAGGGUCCAUAUUUGAUUUAUAGAAUGGACAGAAGAAGCACAAAAGAAAUGUUAAGAAAAGCCUCCUCAAACAUCGGAACUCUUGAUGUCGGGGUUGAUCAUGUACGCUUUAAAUAAUGGCGGGUCAUAGAUAGUCUCAAACUUUCCCGUCGUUGCCAUGUGACAUUGUGACAGUUGAAACCGUGCGACUCCAAGCAAGCAAGGGCAAGACUGAGACGUCGGCCGCCAAGACACUGCUCUAGAAUUCCCUUUUCCAUGCCUCCUCCUGCCUUCUGCGUAUGGGGGGUGGGG